rnacentral:miRNA from 1 species
GCAGACACAUUCCAGCCAAUCAGCAGCAGACCCUCCCUCCGAGACCCUCCCACCUCCUGGACAGCUCACUAAGAAUGCAGCUUCACAAUGAAUGUAAAAUGGACGCUGUCCAGGAGGUGGGAGGGUCUGGGAGGGAGGGUCUGCUGCUGAUUGGCUGGAAUGUGUCUG